rnacentral:rRNA from 1 species
AUUGAACGCUAGCGGGAUGCCUUACACAUGCAAGUCGAACGGAGUGGCGAACGGGUGAGUAAUGUAUCGGAACGUGCCCAGUAGCGGGGGAUAACUACGCGAAAGCGUAGCUAAUACCGCAUACUAUUGGAGCGGCCGAUAACGGAUUAGCGAGUUGGUGGGGUAACGGCUAACCAGGGCGACGAUCCGUAGCUGGUUUGCGAGGACGACCAGCCACACGGGAACGGAGACAAGGCCCAGACUCCUAUGGGAGGCAGCAGUGGGGAAUUUUGGACAAUGGGGGAAACCCUGACCCAGCAAUCCCGCGUGAGCGAUGAAGGCCUUCGGGUUGUAAAGCACUGUUGGCAGGAAAGCGGUACCUGCAGAAUAAGCACCGGCUAACUACGUGCCAGCAGCCGCGGUAAUUC